rnacentral:lncRNA from 1 species
UAAACUUAAUCUUUUACUUUAAGAAAGCAAAUGCCUAAAGCAUGUUCAUGCAUCAUGUUUAUAUGUAAUAGGUUGAUUGCACUAGUUACACGAAUAUGACGCAUUGCAUUAUUUACUGUUGAUGUGGAUGGACCAAGGCGACCCCAAUAGCCCUAGAUAUGUUAUGUUAAUGAAGUCCUGAGGAGCCCGAAGGGCCGGGCAUAAUGAAGUCCUGAGGAGCCCGAAGGGCCGGGCAUAAUGAAGUCCUGAGGAGCCCGAAGGGUCGGG